AACGAACGCUGGCGGCAUGCCUAAUACAUGCAAGUCGAACGAGAUCUUCGGAUCUAGUGGCGCACGGGUGCGUAACGCGUGGGAAUCUGCCCUUGGGUUCGGAAUAACUUCUGGAAACGGAAGCUAAUACCGGAUGAUGACGUAAGUCCAAAGAUUUAUCGCCCAAGGAUGAGCCCGCGUAGGAUUAGGUAGUUGGUGAGGUAAAGGCUCACCAAGCCGACGAUCCUUAGCUGGUCUGAGAGGAUGAUCAGCCACACUGGGACUGGGACACGGCCCAGACUCCUACGGGAGGCAGCAGUAGGGAAUAUUGGACAAUGGGCGAAAGCCUGAUCCAGCAAUGCCGCGUGAGUGAUGAAGGCCUUAGGGUUGUAAAGCUCUUUUACCCGGGAUGAUAAUGACAGUACCGGGAGAAUAAGCUCCGGCUAACUCCGUG
rnacentral:rRNA from 1 species